rnacentral:rRNA from 1 species
GACGAACGCUGGCGGCGUGCUUAACACAUGCAAGUCGAACGGAAAGGCCCUGCUUUUGUGGGGUGCUCGAGUGGCGAACGGGUGAGUAACACGUGAGUAACCUGCCCUUGACUUUGGGAUAACUUCAGGAAACUGGGGCUAAUACCGGAUAGGAGAUCCUGCUGCAUGGUGGGGGUUGGAACGUUUCGGCGGUUGGGGAUGGAUGCGCGGCUUAUCAGCUUGUUGGUGGGGUAGUGGCUUACCAAGGCUUUGACGGGUCGCCGGCCUGGGAGGGUGAACGGCCACAUUGGGACUGAGAGACGGCCCAGACGCCUACGUGAGGCAGCAGGGGGGAAUAUUGCACAAUGGGCGGAAGCCUGAGGCAGCAACGCUGCGUGCGUGAUGACGGCCUGCGGGUUGUAAACCGCUUUCGCCUGUGACGAAGCGUGAGUGACGGUAAUGGGUAAAGAAGCACCGGCUAACUACGUG